rnacentral:rRNA from 1 species
GGGAUGAGCUCAAGCUUAAAAUCUCCGUGCAAUUUUUGCGCGGCGAAUUGUAGUCUAUAGAAGCGUGGUCAGUAUGGGCACUUGGGUUAAGUUCCUUGGAAGAGGACAGCAUGGAGGGUGAUACUCCCGUUCAUUCCUAAGUUGCUUGUGCGUACGACCCGUUUUCUUUGAGUCGCGUUGUUUGAGAAUGCAGCGCAAAGUAGGUGGUAAAUUCCAUCUAAAGCUAAAUAUUGGUGCGAGACCGAUAGCAUACAAGUACCGUGAGGGAAAGAUGAAAAGAACUUUGAAAAUAGAGUUAAAGAGUACCUGAAACUGCUGAAAGGUAACCAAAUCGUUUCCAGUGUCUAUAAUCCGUGGUAUAUUUCAUUGGCGAGCGUAUGCGUGCGUGUGCUGUUGCAGUGGCCUUUUGGCUGCGCUCGGCGUGUGUGCUGUGUGUGCUUGCUGGUGCCCUGUGCUAUGGUGGGACGUCAAGGUCAGUUCGUAUGCUGCGGGAAAUGGCCACUGAGGAGGUAGGGCUUACGCUUGCGUUUGUCUGUUAUAUCUUGGUGGACGAGUAGUCGCGGUUGGGACUGAGGUGCCUACAACGUGCUUUUGAGUGGAUUUGGAUCUCCGUGUGCGCCGUGUGCGGAUAGCUUGCUAUGCGUGUGUGGUUGUGUAUGGAUUGAUGCGAGUCGUAACUUGUAGCCGUUCGGGACGUUGACG